AACCUCCGCAAUGUGAGAAAUCGCGACGGGGGGAUCCCAAGUGCCAUUCUUAACGGGAUGGCUUUUCAUUAGUGUAAAGAGCUUUUGGAAUAAGAGCUGGGCAAGACCGGUGCCAGCCGCCGCGGUAACACCGGCAGCUCUAGUGGUAACAAUUUUUAUUGGGCCUAAAGCGUCCGUAGCCGGUUUAAUAAGUCUCUGGUGAAAUCCUGUAGCUUAACUGUGGGAAUUGCUGGAGAUACUAUUAGACUUGAGACCGGGAGAGGUUAGAGGUACUCCCAGGGUAGAGGUGAAAUUCUGUAAUCCUGGGAGGACCGCCUGUUGCGAAGGCGUCUAACUGGAACGGUUCUGACGGUGAGGGACGAAAGUUAGGGGCGCGAACCGGAUUAGAUACCCGGGUAGUCCUAACUGUAAACGAUGCGGACUUGGUGUUGGGGUGGCUUUGAGCUGCUCCAGUGCCGAAGGGAAGCUGUUAAGUCCGCCGCCUGGGAGUACGGUCGCAAGACUGAAACUUAAAGGAAUU
rnacentral:rRNA from 1 species